rnacentral:rRNA from 1 species
AAUACUACUGACUGACCGAUAGUGAACCAGUACCGUGAGGGAAAGGCGAAAAGAACCCCGGAGAGGGGAGUGAAAUAGAACCUGAAACCGUAUGCGUACAAGCAGUGGGAGCCUACUUGUUAGGUGACUGCGUACCUUUUGUAUAAUGGGUCAGCGACUUAUAUUCAGUGGCAAGCUUAACCGUAUAGGGUAGGCGUAGCGAAAGCGAGUCUUAAUAGGGCGUUUAGUCGCUGGGUAUAGACCCGAAACCGGGCGAUCUAUCCAUGAGCAGGUUGAAGGUUAGGUAACACUGACUGGAGGACCGAACCCACUCCCGUUGAAAAGGUAGGGGAUGACUUGUGGAUCGGAGUGAAAGGCUAAUCAAGCUCGGAGAUAGCUGGUUCUCCUCGAAAGCUAUUUAGGUAGCGCCUCAUGUAUCACUCUGGGGGGUAGAGCACUGUUUCGGCUAGGGGGUCAUCCCGACUUACCAAACCGAUGCAAACUCCGAAUACCCAGAAGUGCCGAGCAUGGGAGACACACGGCGGGUGCUAACGUCCGUCGUGAAAAGGGAAACAACCCAGACCGCCAGCUAAGGUCCCAAAGUUGUGGUUAAGUGGUAAACGAUGUGGGAAGGCUUAGACAGCUAGGAGGUUGGCUUAGAAGCAGCCAUCCUUUAAAGAAAGCGUAAUAGCUCACUAGUCGAGUCGGCCUGCGCGGAAGAUGUAACGGGGCUCAAACCACACACCGAAGCUGCGGGUGUCACGUAAGUGACGCGGUAGAGGAGCGUUCUGUAAGCCUGUGAAGGUGAGUUGAGAAGCUUGCUGGAGGUAUCAGAAGUGCGAAUGCUGACAUGAGUAACGACAAUGGGUGUGAAAAACACCCACGCCGAAAGACCAAGGGUUCCUGCGCAACGUUAAUCGACGCAGGGUUAGUCGGUUCCUAAGGCGAGGCUGAAAAGCGUAGUCGAUGGGAAACAGGUUAAUAUUCCUGUACUUCUGGUUACUGCGAUGGAGGGACGGAGAAGGCUAGGCCAGCUUGGCGUUGGUUGUCCAAGUUUAAGGUGGUAGGCUGAAAUCUUAGGUAAAUCCGGGGUUUCAAGGCCGAGAGCUGAUGACGAGUCGUCUUUUAGAUGACGAAGUGGUUGAUGCCAUGCUUCCAAGAAAAGCUUCUAAGCUUCAGGUAACCAGGAACCGUACCCCAAACCGACACAGGUGGUCGGGUAGAGAAUACCAAGGCGCUUGAGAGAACUCGGGUGAAGGAACUAGGCAAAAUGGCACCGUAACUUCGGGAGAAGGUGCGCCGGCUAGGGUGAAGGAUUUACUCCGUAAGCUCUGGCUGGUCGAAGAUACCAGGCCGCUGCGACUGUUUAUUAAAAACACAGCACUCUGCAAACACGAAAGUGGACGUAUAGGGUGUGACGCCUGCCCGGUGCCGGAAGGUUAAUUGAUGGGGUUAGCGCAAGCGAAGCUCUUGAUCGAAGCCCCGGUAAACGGCGGCCGUAACUAUAACGGUCCUAAGGUAGCGAAAUUCCUUGUCGGGUAAGUUCCGACCUGCACGAAUGGCGUAACGAUGGCGGCGCUGUCUCCACCCGAGACUCAGUGAAAUUGAAAUCGCUGUGAAGAUGCAGUGUAUCCGCGGCUAGACGGAAAGACCCCGUGAACCUUUACUGUAGCUUUGCACUGGACUUUGAGCCUGCUUGUGUAGGAUAGGUGGGAGGCUUUGAAGCGUGGACGCCAGUUCGCGUGGAGCCAUCCUUGAAAUACCACCCUGGCAUGCUUGAGGUUCUAACUCUGGUCCGUGAUCCGGAUCGAGGACAGUGUAUGGUGGGCAGUUUGACUGGGGCGGUCUCCUCCUAAAGAGUAACGGAGGAGUACGAAGGUGCGCUCAGACCGGUCGGAAAUCGGUCGCAGAGUAUAAAGGCAAAAGCGCGCUUGACUGCGAGACAGACACGUCGAGCAGGUACGAAAGUAGGUCUUAGUGAUCCGGUGGUUCUGUAUGGAAGGGCCAUCGCUCAACGGAUAAAAGGUACUCCGGGGAUAACAGGCUGAUACCGCCCAAGAGUUCAUAUCGACGGCGGUGUUUGGCACCUCGAUGUCGGCUCAUCACAUCCUGGGGCUGAAGCCGGUCCCAAGGGUAUGGCUGUUCGCCAUUUAAAGUGGUACGCGAGCUGGGUUUAGAACGUCGUGAGACAGUUCGGUCCCUAUCUGCCGUGGACGUUUGAGAUUUGAGAGGGGCUGCUCCUAGUACGAGAGGACCGGAGUGGACGAACCUCUGGUGUUCCGGUUGUCACGCCAGUGGCAUUGCCGGGUAGCUAUGUUCGGAAAAGAUAACCGCUGAAAGCAUCUAAGCGGGAAACUUGCCUCAAGAUGAGAUCUCACUGGGAACUUGAUUCCCCUGAAGGGCCGUCGAAGACUACGACGUUGAUAGGCUGGGUGUGUAAGCGUUGU